rnacentral:rRNA from 1 species
UACGUAGGGUGCAGGCGUUAAUCGGAAUUACUGGGCGUAAAGCGUGCGCAGGCGGUUUUGUAAGCCGGUUGUGAAAUCCCCGGGCUUAACCUGGGAAUGGCAUUCGGGACUGCAAGGCUGGAGUGCGGCAGAGGAGACUGGAAUUCCUGGUGUAGCAGUGAAAUGCGUAGAUAUCAGGAGGAACACCGAUGGCGAAGGCAGGUCUCUGGGCUGACACUGACGCUCAUGCACGAAAGCGUGGGGAGCAAACAGG